rnacentral:rRNA from 1 species
AGAGUUUGAUCCUGGCUCAGGAUGAACGCUGGCGGUGUGCCUAAUACAUGCAAGUCGAACGAGACUCUUCUGAGUCUAGUGGCGGACGGGUGAGUAACACGUUGGUACCUGCCUCGAAGUGGGGAAUAACUGCCCGAAAGGGUGGCUAAUACCGCAUGUGACCGCAAGGUUAAAGUCGUAAGACGCUUCGAGAGGGGCCUGCGUCCCAUUAGCUUGUUGGUAGGGUAAAAGCCUACCAAGGCGACGAUGGGUAGCUGGAUCGAGAGGUUGACCAGCCACACUGGGACUGAGAUACGGCCCAGACUCCUACGGGAGGCAGCAGUGAGGAAUCUUCCGCAAUGGGCGAAAGCCUGACGGAGCAAUGCCGCGUGCAGGAUGACGGCCUUCGGGUUGUAAACUGCUUUUAUAUGGGAAGAUUAUGACGGUACCAUAUGAAUAAGCACCGGCUAACUACGUGCCAGCAGCCGCGGUAAUACGUAGGGUGCAAGCGUUAUCCGGAAUCACUGGGCGUAAAGCGUGUGUAGGCGGAUCUUUAAGUGUGAUGUUAAAUCGUGUGGCUCAACCAUAUCGAUGCAUCGCAUACUGGGGAUCUGGAGGACGGCAGAGGCAAGUGGAAUUGGCAGUGUAGCAGUGAAAUGCGUAGAUAUUGCCAGGAACACCAAUGGCGAAGGCAGCUUGCUGGGCCGUUUCUGACGCUGAGACACGAAAGCGUGGGGAGCGAACAGGAUUAGAUACCCUGGUAGUCCACGCC